CAGGUACACAUCAUCAUCCUCAUCGGCACCGACAACUACCUCAGCAGUUGCCACUGCACCAGUCCAGGCCUCGGCCACAACACAUGCUCACACCUGUUCGCCAAACAUCACACUCCAACACAAACUCAGUGAAACUUUAAAAGGGAAAUGUUGAAGAUUACUCUUUGAGAAAUAGAUUCAAAAAGGCAUUCAUUUCAAAAGUGGUAAGAAAAUACAUGAUUCUUUUAUGGUUCCGUGGGUUCAACUGUCUUAAAACAGUGAUGCAAAUUUCUU